UAUUAAAAAAAUUAUCAAUUUCUACUAUUAAAAACUAGUGUAGCUAACAAAAUAACCAGACAAUUACACGUGACAUGUCAAGUGUACCUCAUACUGAUGUAUAAGGACCAAUUUUUAACAAUAAAACUUUAUGUAACUUUUAACA
rnacentral:pre_miRNA from 1 species